rnacentral:rRNA from 1 species
UACGGAGGGUGCAAGCGUUAUCCGGAUUCACUGGGUUUAAAGGGUGCGUAGGUGGGUCUGUAAGUCAGUGGUGAAAUCUCCAAGCUUAACUUGGAAACUGCCGUUGAUACUAUAGAUCUUGAAUGUUGUGGAGGUGAGCGGAAUAUGUCAUGUAGCGGUGAAAUGCUUAGAUAUGACAUAGAACACCAAUUGCGAAGGCAGCUCACUACACAAAGAUUGACACUGAGGCACGAAAGCGUGGGGAUCAAACAGG